AUCAGAUAAAACAGAUUUGCGAUUUGAAUUUAUUAGAGUAGAUUUCUCAUUCUUGUGGGGUAUUUUAAUUUCGUAAUUUUUCGUGCAUUACUGGUCGAACAAACGAAGCAUACAAAGCUGCACAAGAAAUUGCAAAAUAUGGAAGUAUUUCACCAAUUACGUUUCAUUUCCGUUUCUAAUGUUAACAUUCAGGGCUACCAUCUAUGUUCUAUCUCGCAUAAUCUAUAUCUGACAGAUACGUAACUCAUGGAUAAACUUGUCUAACAGAUAACCUCAGUUACGCGUUUAUUAAGCAACUUUCUACCCGACAGGCAGCAAACCACAAGAUAGAAAACAGAUGGUACCCCUGAGUGUUAACAUUAGAAACGGAAAUAAAACAUGAUUGGUCAAAUUUGUAUAAUUGACUUUAGUUUGUGAAGUUGAUUUGUGAGUUCUUGCAUGAGUAUUUAUUAGAAAGCGAUGAAGAUGAGGAUAUUGUCCAACUUUUACAUUAUAAACGUCGACCAUAUAUUAUAAAAGAAAGACAAAAGUCAAAACCACUUUGAGGAUUUAGACGACCAAGAUUUUUUUGUUAGAUUUCGGUUAAAAAAGAGUACAGUUUUGUCAAUCUUGGUUAAAAUUGAGACGAGAUUAGAAUUCCAAACUGACAGGAAUCACAUCAUCUCUCCUAUCGACCAAUUGCUCCUUGCACUGAGAUUCUAUGCUACAGGAAAGUUCUUGAUUUCAUGUGGCGAUUAUUUUAAUGUUAGUAAGAGCAGUAAUAUUGUAAAAAGAGUAUCACUGCGCUUGCGGAAUUGGCACCAGAAUAUAUACGUAUGCCUACUGGUGACCAAGUAGAGAAAUCACAAGAACAAUUUUAUGGAAAAGCUAGAUUUCCACGGGUGAUAGGCAGUAUCGACUGUACUCAUAUUAGCAUUAUUUCGCCAGGUGGACUACGUGCAGAGACAUUCCGGAAUCGAAAGGGCUUUUUUUCAUUGAAUGUUCAAACUGUCUCCUCGGUGGAUUUAAAAAUUUUGGAUAUUGUUGCUCGUUGACCAGGAUCGGCCCAUGAUCAGCACAUCUUUGAUAAUUCAUUAUUAAAGCAAAGGUUUGAAAAUAAUGAGUUUAGUAAUGCUUUGCUAGUGGGUGAAUUAAAAAACAAAUACAGAUAGUAAACUUAAUAUACAAGCUUAAAAAAUAAAAUAAACCAACUACAAUACAUACUUACCACAAAAACAGGAAUAAAUAUAAUAGCGAUCACUGAGCACUGGAUGACGAAAGAAGAGAUAAAAAUUUUAAGUUUUCCAGGUUAUUAUGUUGGAUCUUGUAACUGCAGGAAACUUUUUUCAAGAGGAGAUUUUCUUACUACUGAUAGAUGAAGAAUAUUUGUCUGAGUCAAUUGAUUUAGACCAAUAUAUUAAAGAAAAAGACAUUGAACUUUGAGCAGUUAAAAUCCCAGUACUGAAUUCCAUUUUUUUUAGUAGUGAAUCACUGACCAGAUGGAGACUAUAGAGAAUUUUUGGGAAAAAUGGAAGAAAUUUUACAUUUCGUAAUAGGAAAACAAAAUUAAAAAAAUAUAUUUAUAAUGGGGGACUACAAUAUAUGUAUCAAUGAAAAAUCAUUAAUUAAUGAGGAGUUGUUAGCUAUUUUGCUAGAAUAUGGACUUACACUGUGUAGAUAACAUCUUCAUAAACAGAUAAACGAUUACUAAACGAUUACUAUGUAUAAAUAGCACAAACGAAAGGUAGCAUGAUAAAAAAAGAUCUAAUAGAGUUCAAACAAAUAGAACAAGUUGAAGCUAUACAACUAAAACAAAUUGAAGAGGAAGAGAUUGAAGCGAUAAUAAAGAACUUGAAUAAAACAAACACUAAUGAUGUGUAUGGAAUGACAACAAAAGUACUCCAGAAUAUAGAACCUAUAAUAAGGGUAAUGUUGUGUAACCUAUUAAAUAAAUGCUUAAGAGACGGUGUUUUUUCCAAAUGAACUGAAAUAUAUAAGAGUAACUCCUAUUCAUAAACAAGGGGACGCGAAUAAUAAAAGUAAUUACAGACCGAUAUCAAUAAUACCCGUAAUAUCCAAAGUUUUUGAAACUGCAAUAAAAAACAGGAUCAUGGACCACAUAAAAGACAAUAAUCUAAUAACACAAUAUCAACAUGCAUAUCAAAAAGAAAAAUCAACAACAUCAGCACUGCUUAGAGUAAUCCAAAGUAUAAUAACUGGUUUUGAUACGCAAAAUUAUACACAAGUAGUUUUCUGUGACCUGAGUAAAGCUUUUGAGUCAGUGAAUCACCAAAUUCUUCUGAAAAAAAUGGAAAAAUACGGCAUAAACGAAAAUGGAAAUAAACUUAUUGCUUCAUAUCUUCAUAACUGGAGUACCACAGGGCUCCGUGCUCGGACCAGUUUUAUUCCUGUUAUAUUUAAACGAUUUACCAAAAAAUAUAAAGGCAGACUCAAUGUGUUUGUAUGCUGAUGACACCUCAUUCAUAAAUAGUUCUAAAGACUUAGAAGACCUAAAAGAAAAAACAAAUAUAACAUUAAAUGAAGCAAAAAAUUUGUUCAAAGUAAAUAAUCUACAACUGAACAGAGAAAAAACACAUACACUUACCUUCUUCACAAAACAAAACCAGGAGGUCAGAGAUAAUACUACAAUGUUUCUAGGAGUCUAUGGAGGGAUCACAUAAAAAACUUGAAAGGAAAAUUGGCAACGGCACUGUAUUGUUUAAGAAUGUUAGCUAAAAGUUUACCGGAGGAAGAAAUAAGGAAUGUAUAUUUUGCGUACUUUCAUAGUAUGGCGAUAUAUGGCAUACUUACCUGGGGCGCAUCAAGUAAAGCGGGUGAGAUUUUUAAAUUACAAAACAAAGCAAUUAGAAUACUUAAAAAAUUGCAAUACCAUCCUGUAUUAUUUUCUCUUGUCUACAAUAUGUUCAUGCGCAAAGAGAGACAUUGGAAAGAAAUAUAGACUCUCACAACUACAGUACAUGAUAUGGAAACAAUUUACUGGUACCCUUAUACAGAGUACAGAAGUCACAAAAUACUGUCAAAUAUAUUUCAAUAAAAUUAUAUAAUGCUCUACCAUCAAGAACAAAACAAUUAGACGAGAAGAAAUUUAAAGCGGAAGUGAAGAAACACCUAAUAGAAAGUGAAAUUUAUUCAAUUCAAGAAUACUAUGAAAGUAAGAUGCCGGGUACUACCUAGCAGAGGAAGAGGAACUUGAAGUCAAUUUCAUGUAUUUCUUUUAUUGACGAAUUGAAUGUACCAUGUUUUGUAUAUUUGAGAAAUAAACUAUUAUUAUUAUUAUUAU